GGAUCGAUAGCUCAGUGGUAGAGCGAGGGAUUGCAGUGCUUCAAUGCAAGUUAUCCCUAGGUCGCGUGUUCGAUCCACGCUCGGUCCU